rnacentral:rRNA from 1 species
CCCUUAGAUGUCCGGGGCUGCACGCGCGCUACACUGAAGGAAUCAGCGUGCUAGAAAACCUUGUUUGACAUGGCUAGGUAACCCGUUGAAAAUCUUUCGUGAUUGGGAUCGGGACUUGCAAAUGUGUCCCUUGAACGAGGAAUUCCCAGUAAGUGCGGGUCAUAAGCUCGCGCUGAUUACGUCCCUGCCCUUUGUACACACCGCCCGUCGCUCCUACCGAUUGAAUGCUCAGGUGAGCCAUUCGGACUUUCAUCAUGCUGGUUUCCAGUUUUGAUGAAGGAAAGUCUUGCGAACCUUAUCAUUUAGAGGAAGGAGAAGUCGUAACA